AUUGAACGCUGGCGGCAGGCCUAACACAUGCCAGUCGAGCGGAUGAAGGGAGCUUGCUCCUGGAUUCAGCGGCGGACGGGUGAGUAAUGCCUAGGAAUCUGCCUGGUAGUGGGGGAUAACGUCCGGAAACGGGCGCUAAUACCGCAUACGUCCUGAGGGAGAAAGUGGGGGAUCUUCGGACCUCACGCUAUCAGAUGAGCCUAGGUCGGAUUAGCUAGUUGGUGAGGUAAAGGCCUACCAAGGCGACGAUCCGUAACUGGUCUGAGAGGAUGAUCAGUCACACUGGAACUGAGACACGGUCCAGACUCCUACGGGAGGCAGCAGUGGGGAAUAUUGGACAAUGGGCGAAAGCCUGAUCCAGCCAUGCCGCGUGUGUGAAGAAGGUCUUCGGAUUGUAAAGCACUUUAAGUUGGGAGGAAGGGCAGUAAGUUAAUACCUUGCUGUUUUGACGGUACCAACAGAAUAAGCACCGGCUAACUUCGUG
rnacentral:rRNA from 1 species